UACGGGGGGGGCAAGCGUUGUUCGGAAUUACUGGGCGUAAAGGGCUCGUAGGCGGCCAACUAAGUCAGACGUGAAAUCCCUCAGCUUAACUGGGGAACUGCGUCUGAUACUGGAUGGCUAGAGGUUGGGAGAGGGAUGCGGAAUUCCAGGUGUAGCGGUGAAAUGCGUAGAUAUCUGGAGGAACACCGGUGGCGAAGGCGGCAUCCUGGACCAAUUCUGACGCUGAGGAGCGAAAGCCAGGGGAGCAAACGGG
rnacentral:rRNA from 1 species